UAGAAACACAUCAAGGAGAGGCCUGGGAGACGUUGGAGCAAGAGGAGGAGUUUCCGGGCGGUGAGUGUUUAAAUCGGGCGCGGGGCUUUACUCCACAGAGGUCCGGGAGACGUUGGAGCAAGAGGAGGAGUUUCCGGGCGGUGAGUGUUUAAAUCGGGCGCGGGGCUUUACUCCACAGAGGUCCGGGAGACGUUGGAGCAAGAGGAGGAGUUUCCU